GAAAAUGAAAAUCUUGAAGCUGCUAACUUUGAGCCUUGCAAAUAUCUGUAACAUUUUCU
rnacentral:tRNA from 1 species